GGCCCCCUCCUCAGCCUGGGUUCCCCAAUAUGGUCCCACAUGAGGACAUCAUCCCCCCUCCAACAUGGGCCCCAGACACCCGCCCAUAGGCCUCAUGUGCUUUCCACUAGGAGCCCCACUUGACCCCCUCUAGAGCCUCCAUCAACUCAGCUUCUCCCCACAUAGACUUCAUCCCGGGACCCUGGAGGGUACUGAGGAGCUGCGAUUCUCCACCCUGGAAUCUGCCUGGGGCGCACUUCCCGGAUCGCCGGAGAGAAGGGGGUGACGGAGCUUGUAAAUGCCCAGUUGGGCUGCCGGUGGAAGAAGCGGCGGGAAGAUCGCUGGCAGGGCACGGCCCUCGUGAGUCGCCCUCCCUGCGUGUGUACAUCUCUCCUUCCUGAUUAUAAAACCCACACACGUGCACAUGAAAGUUCUCCAAAGGAUCAAGAAGGAAAAAAUCACGUGGACUACUCCUCCACUUUCACUUGUCAUAAGCAUUUCUCAUGUCAUUAAAAAUCCUUCCUAAAUGUUUUUGUUCCUUUUUUUUUUCUUCAUGAUGAAGGUCAAACAUGAUCAAAAUACCAUUUGGGGGAGAUUAAGAGAAGUAUUAAGAAUGUAGCAUUUGGCUGGCCGCCUUUGGGGCUCUCCCGGCGUCCCUUUUUGGGACCCUCAUAUGUCAUUUGCAUCCCACUUUACCCUGUACCUCAUACCAUCUGUCACGUCUGCCCGCCUUGAGCAUGUUAUGUUAUCGUGCAUUUUACAGUCAUAAGUUCUCCACGAUGUGAUGGGAGGGUAGUUGAUCUCGCCAGGCUUGACUGUUGGGCACUUCUGUUGUGAUUCUUGGUGCCUAAAUCUUUGUCCCAAUUUCAGAUAGAUUGC
rnacentral:lncRNA from 1 species